rnacentral:rRNA from 1 species
UAGGGAAUCUUCGGCAAUGGACGAAAGUCUGACCGAGCAACGCCGCGCGAGUGAAGAAGGUUUUCGGAUCGUAAAACUCUGUUGUUAGAGAAGAACAAGGACGUUAGUAACUGAACGUCCCCUGACGGUAUCUAACCAGAAAGCCACGGCUAACUACGUGCCAGCAGCCGCGGUAAUACGUAGGUGGCAAGCGUUGUCCGGAUUUAUUGGGCGUAAAGCGAGCGCAGGCGGUUUCUUAAGUCUGAUGUGAAAGCCCCCGGCUCAACCGGGGAGGGUCAUUGGAAACUGGGAGACUUGAGUGCAGAAGAGGAGAGUGGAAUUCCAUGUGUAGCGGUGAAAUGCGUAGAUAUAUGGAGAAACACCAGUGGCGAAGGAGGCUCUCUGGUCUGUAACUGACGCUGAGGCUAGAAAGCGUGGGGAGCAAACAGG